rnacentral:tRNA from 1 species
GCCUUGCUGGCGGAACGGAAGACGCGGUCGGCUCAAACCCGGCGACAUCCUCCCGGUUCGAAUCCGGGGCGAGGCACCA